rnacentral:rRNA from 1 species
UACGGGGGGAGCAAGCGUUUGUUCGGAUUUACUGGGCGUAAAGGGCGCGUAGGCGGCGUGACAAGUCACUUGUGAAAUCUCCGGGCUUAACUCGGAACGGUCAAGUGAUACUGUCGUGCUAGAGUACAGAAGGGGCAACUGGAAUUCUCGGUGUAGCGGUGAAAUGCGUAGAUAUCGAGAGGAACACCUGCGGCGAAGGCGGGUUGCUGGGCUGAUACUGACGUGAGGCGCGAAAGCUAGGGGAGCGAACGGG